AAUCAGAACAAAGAGCUUGGGAUGGUGAAGAGAGAGGAGACAGUAGCAAAGGAUUCAGGUGUGUUAGAGGGUUUGAGGAGGGGGUGAAGACAUGGGGAAGGGUUCAAGUGACAGUAGAAAGAGGACAUGAAGUUGGUUUUCCCACAUUCUAUUUCAUUAGAAAUUAUUUUAGAGAAAUCUACUGAGAAUAAUCUCAGGAUUCUCUUAUUGUAAGUGCUUGAAGACUCUGUAUAUAAGAAUUAAUACUCAUAGACAAACUUAAUUUUAUUUGGUUUUCCGUGUGAGUGAUGCUGUCCCUCUUCCAUUCACAUUGCUGGUUGUGUUUUUAUACCAAUAUUAAGUGGUUUCAUUACUAUAAUUUAAUAUGGUGUUUCAUUAGAACCAUUUAAGUGUUUUUGUUGGUCCUGAGCACAGAGUUUUUGAAGCAUCUUGUAGUUCCAUAAGGUUCUGUGCCUUUUAGGGUUAAUUUCUUUAUUUUCUAAAAUAAUGCCAGCAGAAUUUUGAGAAGAUUUGCUUAAUAUCUCUGCCAAGUACUAAACUCCAUUUACAUUGUCUUCCCUUUGAUAUCCCAUUGUCUGUCUUCAACACUCCACCAUUUGCAUCACUACAAUUUUUAUAUAUUUUGAAAUUACCACUGGGUUUGAUCCUUCUCUCACUAUUUUUGAAGUCUUUGUGGUUUCUCACAAUUUUAUAUAUCUUAGGAACUCCUGAUUUUCUCCAUUUACAGAAAAAAACUGCCUGUAAGAUAUUGGUACAAAGUAUUUAGAAUCUUUACAGAACAUAAUCAUCAUUUUCUAUUUCUUUGCAUGUUUGAAUGAGAACAUGCUAUCAGAGAGUCAAUGUUCACAGGUCUUUUUUGUAUUCUUCUCUGUUCUAUUUACUGUUGAUGUCAGCAUUCUUGGUUCUUGGAGAAGACACUUUAAACAUUGAUCUUUACUAGGUUUGAACACUUGUUCUAUUUUUAAGACAGGGCCACACUGGAGAAUACUUAUUGCAGUUUGUGAAACUGGGUGUCUUCUGAUGUUGAGUGGAUCAUUCUCUGUAGGGCUGGUAGGCAUUAUUGGUUUUCUGCACUGUUCAAGGUCAUCUUGCUCAAUGUGGACAUCAAAGCUUCCCUGUAUUAUUGUCUAUUUGCUUCAUACAAUUCUGUCAUUGAUUGCUUCAUGUAUUUGGAAACUUGUGAAAUACAUCCAUGUUGAUCACAUAUCUUUCUGGAAAUGGACCAUUUGAUCAUUUGUUAAUAAUCUUUUGUAGCUGGAAGUUUUUGUUUUGUAUAUUUAUAGAUUCGGCUUUUCCUGUUACCUACCAUAAUCAUGACCAAUCCUCUUUACAGAAAAUCUUUAAGAAAAAUUUCUUCACACUUAGCACUUUGUAUCUCUAUAUUUGAAGUAAAUACUUGUAUACAAAGUAUAUAUUUUGAUUUUAGUGGUAGUAUAUAUUAUUAUAAUAUAUAUAAGAGCUAUAUAUUUUGAUUUUAGGAUUAUCCUAUUUCAUGUUAGGUUUGAGGCAUAUUAUACAUAUCAUUUUGAUAAAUCACUGAAGGAAAAUAUAAACAUAUACUAAUUUGUUAUUUUCUGUAUUGUUUUUCCUCUUUCUGCAUAUCUAUUUCAUUGAUAGUUUGCAGUUUAUUUCAUUUCUUUAUAAAUGUGAGUAGUAUCUUCUCUAGGUUUUCUCUUUUUCUUGUUUGGUUUUUCACAAAGCUGUACACUGACUUUCCUGGUGGCUUCAGUGAGUUUGAUUCACAAUGACACUGUGUCUGUGUCUUCCUUUUGCAUUGUCUCUAGUGUUUGUUAUUGUUUAACACCUUGAGUGUGGAUACUGACUGGCUAGAGAGAUCUCAGUGUACACUAGUGUACACAUUUUCUUCAGUAAACAUGUGGAGCAUGUGCUAUUUACAUUUAGGCUAUGUCAAAGCUUUUGUGCAUUGUCACCUUUUUGGUUUAUUUCUUGAUUAUAGUAUUACUUGCUUUGCAUUUUUUAAACUUCUUGGUAAAAUUUGGGUAUUUAUGCAUGUACUAUGAAAGUGUAGGCAGUUUCUUCAUACUUUCAGUUACUACCUUUUGUAUGCAAUUUUCCAAUUGCACACAGUCAAAUUUCACCAAUUCAUUGCUUUUCACUCUUUUAUAUGUGGAUAUUUACUUUUCCCUACAACACUAGUUUACGAGACUUUCUAUUGUGUAACAUAAGUUUUUGGCGUUUUGGUGAAAUUCAUUCGGUCACCGCAGGUUGGAUUGGUUCUGGAUCUGUGGCUCUUAUUGCUUAGGUGUCUGUUCUUCUGCCGUCGCCAUGGUGCUGUUGUUCCCGUGAGUCUGCAGUGUCUUCUGAAAUCACAGCUGGGAUGAUUCAAGCUUUGCUCUGCACUCUUAGGGUCUUUGUAAUUUCGUAAUUUGUAAAUAAUGUAAAUUUGUAGGCGUCUCCUGACUGUACCUGUGAAGUAAAUCAUUGUUACCUUGAUUGACAUGCAUUUUGAGUUAAUCAUAUGAAUCUUUUAACACUGUCGUUUUCACAAUAAUGCAUUCUGUUCCACAUUCAUGCCUGUUUUUCCCAUCUUCCAGUGUCAUCCUCCAUUCCUUCAGUGAAUUCAAGUUUCUAUUUCACUUGUGUCUCUUGUGCUUGGUUAGAUUUUUUUAAAUCCUUUUUUCAAACUAUUUUUUGAUUGUUUAUAGUUUAGUUUGGAUUAAUUAAAUUGAAGUAAAACCAGAUAGUAUAAAUCCUCUCUAAUUGCUUGGUUAUGUACAUGAAAAAAAAGUUCUACCUCCAAAUAGACAUUGAUAUCUCCUUAUAAGUUCUAUUUGUAUAAAUUUUGUUCAGUUUUUAUUAUUAAUAAAUGUUGAUAUUCAGUGAUUGCACAGUUUUCCUCUUGUCACCCUCUGUCCCAUCCCUGGGUAGAUUGUUGUCUUCCCAGUUGUCCUCAUAUUUCAUGUAUGAUUUUGGGCAGGUUUUAGCCAGGUAGCCAGGCUGUAAUAUUUUGAUAAUUCUGAUGGUCAUGUUGUAUGGCAGGAGAGUUUUUCACAUGUCACCUCCCCAUCCUCCAGCUCUUAAAAUCUUUCACCUCCCCUUCUGUAAUGUUAUCUGCAAUUUAGAUGCAGAAAUAUGGAAUUCCCAUCAUAGCCUGUUCUGUAGGCAUUUAAUUGUUCUCAGUAUUUGAGGAGUUAUGACUCUCUGAAAUAACUGUUGUCCAUUGAAAACAGAGUUUCUUAGACCCAGGCUGAAAGCAAUACCAGGCUGUGGUGUGAUCAGAGUCAGUAAAAGGCAGUUGGAAUAUUUGUACAUGUAGCAGAAUAUCAGUAGUGGAUUCUCUUUAGGGCCUGUGACCUUCACCAUCAUAGGCUUCUGGCCAGGUUAUCUGUGCCAUGCAUGUAUUUCCUCUAUGGAGCCUGCUUCAAAUCAAAUCAGAAGGCCUUCUGUUACAUAAAAAAUAGUUUUGCUACUAUGACACCAGUGGACAUUUCUUGCCUGGCAGGUUGUGAUUAUAGCACACAGGAUCCAAAUCUGGGUAUGGCCAUUGAUAACUCUGCCCCUUCUCGAGCCUGCAUAGCAGUUUUGACACUAUAAAUGCUACCACCAGGGAGUCCAAGAUAUUUUUAGACACUGUGAGUGGUCUGCUGACUUCUCUGCAUCCUCUUGUUGGUAUGUUAAAAAAAAAACCAAAACAGUGAUGUUGUAUGUGUAUUAGGUAGCUGUUUAAGAGUCCUAUUUGAUCUUAGUUUUUCAUGGGUAUUUCUACCUUUAAGUUAUAAAAUUCUAUUUCUUAUCUAAGAUAUCCCCUUUCUUUAUUACUGUCCUAUAUUAUCACCUUUAAAAUUUUCUGUGUCUGAACUGUACCCACCGAUGCAAUGUGUUGACUGUGGAGGACUCCCUUCUCUGUGCUGAUUAGAGCGAAAUGGUUCCAGCUGUCUUUUUGUAGUGUCAGGUUUAGGAUUGUGUCCCAUUGUCUUUAUUAUGCUGAGAUAUAUUCCUUUUGUUCUCACAUUCUUCAGAGCUUUUAUAGUGAGCAAAUGUGAUAUUUAGGCCCAAGUCUUUUAUGGAUCUAUUGACAUCAUCCUGUUGUUUCUCUUACCCACUCUACAUGUUUGCUGUCUUACAUUGAUUAAUUCAUAGGUGUUGAAACAGUCUUGCAUUCUUGCCAUUAAAUCAGCUUGCAUUCUGUUUCCAUGUAGCUUAGAGACAAUCUCCAUGUCUCUGUCCAUCCUGACAACUUGUCUGUGAUUUUCCUUUGCCUAUAUUUGUUUGGAUUACCUGCUUCAGGUGUUGAGGUAACACUAGCUUUGUAUGAUGACUUUCUAGCAUUCCAGUUCUUUGUGUAUUAUGUAUGCAAUGUUCUUCUUGUUGUAUUAGUAUAAGGUUUUUCUAAAGAAAAGGAGAAUUCUGUGCUGAAUCUGUCCAGUCCUCAGACACUGUUAGAGGAAACUCUGACUGCUUCAGUCUCAGCACUACUGAAUGCCUUUUCUAGUUUUAUAAAUUAGAAGGGUGAAUUGUUUGCUUGUUUCUAAAAGCUUGACCUUUUCUUCUUCACUUCUAAUUUCUUUGCAUGUGACCAUCCACAGUACUCCAUAAGGUAACUCUGAUGUCAUUGGCAUACACUGCAAUGUCCUCUUUUCAACUCUAGGUCUGUUACUUGGGGAUUCAUUCUUUUAGUUUGGAUUAGGUGAAAAAUGCUUCAUCCAUACUUUUUUCAUUUCACAGAAACAAGUCUAUUGCCUUGAUUCAUCGCAUUGUCAUCUGGUCUCUAUUUCAUUAAUUUCUACACAACCUUUCUAGUAUCUUUCUAUAUACUGUUUCAGAUGGACUGUUCUUUAGCUUGUAAGCCCUCGGCCACAUAGCUAUGGGCAAAUGUCUUUUAUAACCAGAGUCUAUUGCUGACAAAACUUCUCAGUGUAUCUUUGUCACCUCACUUCUGUAUCAUUGUUAUUCAUGAGCUGCCAAUCACCCUGACAUUCUAACAAAUUAUCCUCAGUACUUCAUGAAUCCUGGCCCACUGUUCAUUGAUUUAAGUCUCCACAAUAGCUAAUUAAGGAAAAAUAAACCGAGUGUUGCAGAGGUGGCUCAUCAGUUAAGAGCACUUGUUGCUCUUGCAGUUUUCAGGUUCAGGUCCCUCUACAUGCAAGGUGACUUAAUUCAGGUCCAAAGGAUCUAGUGCCCUCUUGUGGCCACUGCAGCUACUUCAUGCAUUAGGUACACAGACCUACCUGAAGGAAAAUACCCAUACAAUUAAAGUUAAAAUACAUAAAUCUAUCUUUACUUUCUUUUAUUUAUUCUAUAUAUCUUUUACAUCAUGUAUCUUCAUGUCAUUCAUUUCCCAGUCUCCUUGCAUGUCCCCUGUGCCCUUCUAUCCCCCAAUAAAAGAAAAUUUAAGAGAAAAAAGGAAAAAUUUAAAAUCUCAUUAUGAAAGCUGCAGUGUGACACAGUGAGUCACUCAGUAAAGGUCUUUGUCCAUAUAUCUUUAUUUGUAAGUGUUCAUUGCAAAUAACCAUUGGUAUGGUUCGAGGCCUCUAGUUUCUACUACAGUAUCAAUGCUGGACCCUCACUAGGACUCUUCUUGGGUAUCCUGUUGUUGCCCUGUGUUGUGGAGAUCCUGCAACUUUGGGUCUACAGGUGAGGUGGUGAGGUCCUGUCACAUUCUCCAGCAGAUCACUGAUAGUGUAGGUGUUAUGUUGGGCCAAAUCAUAGUUCUGGUUCUGGGCCUGGCAAAGAUCAAUGCUUGAAAUUUUUAUUUUCUUACCUAACUGGAAUGCAAAUAACAACAUCAAAAAGAAAAUAAAAUACAUAAAUGACCAGUGAAAACUGGUGCAAUACUAGCAUGUUUAUAUUCAAACAUAAGACAAUAUAAAAGGUGAGUAUACCAUUACACUCAGGCAAAGGAAGACAUAAAAACAGAACUAGAAAACUGAGCUGUUUAAAUGUUAGAAACAGAUCUGAGUGUCUCAAAAAUGGCAAGGUAAAAAAUUUUUCUUGUCUGGAAGCAAGCAUAGCUGUGAGAAAUCCACCAUGCAAACACAUUCGGCAAGAGUCCCAUUAGGACUUCAUUCCUAAAAGAAAAGGGGCUACUCUUUCAGUGGUCAGAGCUCACCUCACAUACUUAUGACAAUGGCUAAGUUAACACAAUGCAGUUGACAACCCAAACAAAAUUUUGAGCACUAAAUGAAACCCUUCUUGAAUAUUUUGAGUUCAGAAGUGUUGUUGACCCUGGAGAAAUUUUAAAUUCUCCCAAUUAGCUUCUUUAAUUUUUUUUAAAUGGAAUUGUGUAUUAUUUCACCUUUUGGCAUAAAAGACAGUACCUUCUGUUUACAUUUCCCAUGCAUAUUUGUAUAUUUCAAACUGUCUGGUGAAUUCCAGGAGUGGUGGUGCAUGCCUUUAAAUCCAGCACUCUGGAGGCAGAGGCAGGUGGAUCUUUCACAGUCAAGAUCAGCCUGCAUAGUGUAUUCCAAGGCAGACAGGAAUACUCAGUGAGACCCUGCCUCAGAAAAAAUAAAUGUCUGAGGAUUGGAGAGGUGUCUCAGUGGUUAAAGUAGUGGCUGUUCUUUCAGAGGACCUCAGUUCUAUUCCUAGCACCCACAGGGCAAGUCACAGUCAUCUCUUAGUCAAGUCCAGGGGAUCUGUUGCACUUUUCUGAUGUCUCUAAGCACUGCAUGCAAAUGGACAAAUGGUCCAAAGAUGUUACUUGCAAAAAAACUCAGAAACACCCAAAUGCAUAAAAUAAAAAUAAAUAAAUCAUUGUAUAAACAGCCUAGUGGAACCAUCUCUGGUGAUGUUAUCACUUCCUUUAUCAUAUCUGUAAAAAGAAAAAGAAGUAUAUUUUAUUUAUUUGGAUUUAACAGAUGAAGCUGAGCUCAAUGCAGCCUUGGUUUUACAGUGACUAGUCUAACACACUGCUGCCUGCUACCUCAAUUUUUUUAAUUAAGAAAUUUUUUUAUUCAUUUUACAUACCAACCACAGAUCCCCCUUUCUUUCCUCUUCCCACACCCCUCAGCUUUCUCCCCCAAACCCACCCUCCAUUCCCUUCUCCUAAAAGGUAAGGCAUCCCAUGGGGAGUCAACAGAGCCUGGUACAUUCUUUUGAGGCAGGUCCAAGUCCUUCCCUCCUGCAUCAAGGCUGUGCAAGGUGUCCCACCAUAGGUAAUGGGCUCCAAAAAGCCAGCUCAUGCACCAGGGAUGGAUCCUGAUUCUACUGCCAGGGGGCGCCUUACGCAGAUCAAGCUACACAACUGUCUCGCUUAUAUAGAGGACCUUGUCAAGUCCCAUGGAAGAUCCACAGCUGUUGAUAUAAAUUUCUUGAGUUCCCACAAGCUUGGUUUGGUUAUCUACAUAAGUUUCCCCCAUCAUAAUCUUGAUGCCCCUUGAUCAUAGAAUCCCUCUUUACUCUCUUCGACUGGACUCCUGGAGCUCGGCCUGGUGCUUGGCUGUGGAUCUCUGCAUCUGCUUCCAUAAGUUACUGGGUGAAGGCUAUAUGAUGAGAGUUAGGGCAUCACAGAUUUGAUUACCAGGGUAAGCCAGCUGAGGCACCUUCUCCACUAUUGCUAGUAGUCUAAGCUGGGGUCAUCCUUAUGGAUUCCUUGGAACUUCCCUAACAACAGGUUUCUCCCUAUCCCCAUGAUGUCUCCCUCUGUCAAGGUAUCUCUUUCAUUGCUCUCCCACUCCGUCCCAGUUCCAGCUCAACCAUCCUGUUCCCUUAUGUUCUGAUCCCCCAACCCCAACCCUCCAUUCCCCCCACCUCGCUGCAUCCCCAGUUUACUCAUGGAGAUCUCAACUAUUUCCCCUUCCCAGGGCAUUCAAUUCAUCCCCCUUUUGGUCUUCCUUGUUAGCUAGCUUCUCUGGAGCUGGGGGUUGUAGUCUGGAUAUCCUUUGCUUUAUAUCUAGUAUCCAUUUAUGAGUGAGUACAUACCAUAUUUGUCUUUCUGAGUCUGGGUUAACACGCUCAAGAUGAUAUUUUCUGGUCCAAUCCAUUUGCUUGCAAAUUUCAUGAUGUCAUUCUUUUUAAUGCUGAGUAGUACUUCAUUGUGUAUAUGUUCCACAUUUUCUUUAUCCAUUCUUUGGUUGAGGGGCAUCUACGUUAUUUCCGGAUUCUGGUUAUUAUGAAUAAUGCUAAUAUGAACAUAGCUGAGCAAGUGUCCUUGUGGUAUGAUUGUGCAUCCCUUGGGUAUAUGCCCAAGAGUGGUAUCCCUGGAUUUUGAGGCUACCUCAGUUUUUAAUGUUACUAAUUGUUUGUUCUGUAGUAUGGGGGGGUCAACCCCAAGGGUCCAUACAUACUAGGCCAGUGCUUUACAAACCAUGUACCUCAUUAUUCUUGCUAGCAACUGUUAAGUUUUUGCUCACAAACCUUCUGUCUGCCUCCUAAAUCUACAGUGGAAGCACCAGCCUAUGUGUCCUUGUAAUCAGGAGAAAGUGGAGUACACACAAAGAAGGCAGACAACCCUCCCUGUAUAAUCCCAUAUAAUGAGGCUACAGAGUGGAAAUGGGGAAAGCUCUGAGGAAAAUGGAAAUGACAUUUAAACAGGAAAAUUCCUGUUCUUCACGUAAGGAAUGGGGCCAGGCUGAAGAGAUUGCUCAGUGUUUAAGAGUACUUGUGGCUCUUAAUCAAGGACCUAGGUUCAAUUCACAGCACCCACAUGGUGGCUCACAGCUGCUCAUGACUUCAGGUCUAGGGAUCCAAUGCCUUCUUUUGCCCUCCAGGUGCACCAGGCAUGCAUGUGGUGCAUAAACAUACAGACAAAAAAUACACCUUAAAAGUUUUUAAAUGAAGGGAAAGGGGGUAAUUAUUGAAGAAAGUGAAGAAAGAGAAGAAACAAGUUGUUCUGGGAAGGAAAACCUACUUAUUCCCAUCUCUCUUUCAUUCCAGUCUGGCCUCUUACUCCUUCCAGAAAUCAGAAGGUCCAGCCUGGGGAGAUAGUGCCAUGCUUAAGGAACUUAAGGAGAUCUGGAAUAAGGAACCAGGAAUGCAUGUUAGCAUGGCAGGCUGCUUAUAAUUAAGUAUGGGAAUCCAGAGAAAGUUCCUUUGUAAUGUUGGUAAUGUAGCUUCAGCCUACAGGCCUAGAGUCUCUGGCAUAAUUUUCAGUGAAUCAGGAAAUGUGAAGGACUGUUCUACCUAAUGGCAAAGUUUGUCAGUCACUUUCCUCUGUGUCCUGCAAAAUGUAUGGCAGAUUUGUCUGCAAAGCAGGAACAUGAAGGACCAUCCCACCUUGUUUUGGCAAAGUUCAGUAGUCACUAUCCUAUGGGUCUUGCAUGUCCAGUUUAUACAACAUACUGUAAGGUAGUCCAGCCAAGAGCAGUUUCUUACCCAAGUGACUAAUCUUUUCCACAUUGUAAGGAAGCUCCAUAAACAAGGUUCUUUGAUGGCCAUCAUCCUCUUGCUGCCAGGAGCAGACAUGUCUCAUUGUCCAGAAAAGUCUAAGUUCUUAAAACACUUUAAAUGCCAAAUUUUGUAGGUCUUUGAAGUGUUUAAAGAUUACCUACCUACUUGAAAUAUAUCUUUGUAUACCUAGAAAACUUAAGUAACAUGACUGGAAGUUUGAUUAUCAUAGAUGACUACUAAUCUGCAUUAUAUGAUACAAUACAAUUUUAACUGAGUUGCAUAAGCAUAAUAACAUAAACAAGAGUAGAAAUAUACAUAUAAAAAAUUGACCUUAAAUAUGUAUUAAUAAUGCAAAAUCCACAUCAAUGUAAAGUAUUUUGAGGUUAACAGUUGCUUGUUUUAGAGUAAAGUAAAUGUGCUGGAGGUCUCAGAAUUUCAUAAAAAAACCAUGUCAAUAGUAAGGGUAUAAAAAAGGAUUUUUCCAUAAUCUGGCAAUAAGCCAAAGAAAUUAUAAGGAAAUGUCCUACUUGUUCUUUUUACAAUCAGACUCCAUUACCAGCAGGAUGUGACCCAAAGGGUACUCAAAGCAAUGAAAUCUGGCAGAUGGAUGUGUUUCACUUUGCAGAAUUUGGAAAAUUGAAAUAUAUACACCACACCAUUGUUACCUAUUCAGGAUUUCAACGGGCAACUGCUUUGAGUUCAGAAAAGGCUGAUUCUGAAAAUCACACAUUUGCUAGAAGUUAUGGCCAUCAUAGGUAUACCUGCACAAAUUAAAACUAACAAUGCUCUAGCAUAUGUCUCUGGUAAAAUGAAAUAGUUUUUUCCUUAUUACAAUAUAAAGCAUAUUACAGGUAUACCACAUAAUACUAGAGGCCAAGCAGUCAUAGAAAGAUCAAAUUGAACUUUAAAGGAUAUGCUAAAUAAACUGAAAGGGGUAACAAAAACCCCCAGAAAUAGAUUACAUAAUGCUCUAUCAACUUUGAAUUGUCUCAAUGCUGAGAAAGGAACAAUAGCUGUGAAGAGACACUGGAUAAUAGAAAAAAACUACAGAAUUAAAUCAGCCUAUAUAUUUUAAAGAUGUGCUCACCUCACAAUGGAAACCAGGAUAUGUACUACACUGGGGGACGAGGUUUUGCUUUUGUUUCUUCAGGAGAAGGAAAUCUAUGGAUACCAUCAAAACUGAUAAAGUUUCAAUUUGAAUGAGAGACCUCUUAAUUAGAAGAGGUGAUAGUUCAUCAACCAGCAUGACCAUCCAAUUAAAAUUAAAUUAUACCACUAAUAAAUGCUUUUCAUAUAAUCAGAUAUAACUUGCUAAAAGGGAACCUCCCCAAAGCUAGGCUUGGAGAAGGGUUUUUGGUUUUGUCUUUCAGGAGAAUGAAGGCUAAGCAAUCUGAAGCCCUGGACAAAUGAGACAUCUGAAAAAAAAGUACAUAUCAUCCAGAAAAAAUGUCCAAGGAGAAAGAGUAAAUUGGCCUAAUGGCAUAUCAUAUAAAAUUUCAUAAUCUUCCUAAAUGUUUGUUUCUGCUCUUCUCUACAGACAUUUAGCACAUAUGGUCUUUAUGUAGUUCCAGUUCAAUUAAAAAAUAAAGCUGGCUUUGGAACUGGAGAAUGGCUCUCUCCUUCUCUAAACCUAAGCAUGCUUGUUAAAAGAAAAUACAAAAUCUCUGUAUCAUGUCAGAAGCGCCAUCUGAUGUGGGAUAGAAGAAAACCAAAAUUAAGGGACUAUUCUAUUGCACUAACCUCAUAACUCUUUGGUUUUAUUUUGAUUCUUUAAAACUUUUCUUAAGGUAUGAAUUUUAUAUCAAAAUUUAUGAGAUUUAUAUAUAUAUUUCAACUUUUUCAUGAUAUUAAUGGGUAUAUAGAGUACUAAUUAAUUCUUAAAAAAAAAGGCUUCAUCUAGCUGCCUGUACUUUUUUGUGUGUUUCAGUCUCUAUUAGUUUCCUGCAGGGAAUCAUGACCACACCUAACAGCAAAUUUGAAGCCUCCAAAAAGAUGAUGGGGCCCCACAACAGCGAUUCCAUCAGGAUGAUGGUAAUACCACUAAGCGGAAAAACAUCACCCAAAGAUUGGACUACAAACUACACAGGACAGUUUCAAGAUGGCUAGCUGAGACGAUCCAGCCUCACAGAUUACUGGAGCGAGGACUUGAGAUAAGCCCUGCACUUCUGCAUUAUGCUGAGACUGGGCAACAAAUGAUACAGCUACCUCUCCCAGGACUUAAGAAUUAACCAAAAUUUUUUCUUUUCAGGGUCCCCUAAAGAUGCCUCCACCCCAAAACAGCAGGAAGUAAUUUUAAAAACACAACACCCACAUUCCCAAGAAUGGUGGUUUUUGGUCUUUCAGUUUUGGAUAAUUGUCAUUGUUUAGGACAGGUUGUUAUUGUUAAUGGUGAGGAAAAAGACUAAACAAAGGAGAUUAGAUUUAAGGUUCUUGUUUGAAAAAAAGAAAAAGUAAAAAGAGGAUAUAGAUAAGAGGUCUAUUAUUGAAUCUACUCUGAAAAAAGAUAUAGAAAUGAUAGAAUAAAGGUAUAUUAUUGAAUCUACUCUGAAAAAAGAGGAUAUAGAUAUGAUAUAGAUAAAAAAGUAGAUUAUUGAAUCUACUUUUUUUUUUUCGAGACAAGGUUUCCCUGUGUAGCUUUACGCCUUUCCUGGAUCUCGCUCUGUAGAUCAGGCUGGCCUCGAACUCACAAAGAUCUGCCUGCCUCUGCCUCCCGAGUGCUAGGAUUAAAGGUGUGCGCCACCACUGCCCAGCUGAAUCUACUUUUUGAAGGCAACUAUUAGUUUUAAAUAUUUUACAUUGAAUUGGAUUCUUGUAUAUUGCAUACAAAUUAUGUAUAUUGAUACCAAUUUGAGAUUGAUUUUGUUAGGAAAUACUGCAUGUAUAUUUCUAAUCUUGUUCAAGAUAUUGUACCUAUACAGUUCCUUUAAAAAUGUAAUGCUGCCGGGCGGUGGUGGCACACGCCUUUAAUCCCAGCACUCGGGAGGCAGAGGUAGGCGGAUCUCUGUGAGUUCGAGGCCAUCCUGGUCUACAGAGUGAGAUCCAGGAAAGGCGCAAAGCUACACAGAGAAACCCUGUCUUGAAAAACCAAAAAAAAAAAAUGUAAUGCAAUUUGCCAGUCCUUGAAAGUUAUUAUUACCAAAUAUUUUGGAUAUAAAGAAAUGUAAGGUAGUAUUUAGUCACUAAAAUCGAACUUGUAGUCAUAUUAGGUAUGUUUUCAAGACUAAGCAGAAAUAUAUUUUAGAUAGGUCAUCUUCAAACACUUCAGAGAUCUGCAUUUAAGAUGUUUUAAUAACAUAUACUUUUUUUCUUUGUUUUAUGACUAUGAGACAUGUCUGCUCCUGGCAGCACCAAUCUACUUCAGAGGAAAUGAUAGGCAUUGAAGAAACGUCACAUGGAGUUAACUUUCAUUGUGGCAAGUUAGCUACUGGGCAAGAAAGUGCCCUCACAUUGACUGCUGACAGUAUGCUAUCUAAAAUGGACAAGCAGGAUACAAAACAAAUGACUGCCAAUCCUUGCCAAGACAAGGUAGGAAGGCUCUUUAGAAAAUCCUACUUCACAGAUGAGUCUGUCAGAUAUGAUAAGCCAGUAGGCCAAAGAUGAUGCCCCAAUAUUGCAGAGAAACCUCGGGUGACUGUCCAGGUAGAUGGCUGUUUUCUGUCAUAACUCACAUUUUUUGGAAGUUGCUUGUUUGCACUUCCUGCUUUACUAGGUAAUAUUAUUUCCUUCUUGGGUCUCUGAGGGAGUUGAAGAUUAGAUAGUUAUAGUUAUAGGUUUCCUUGUUAACAAUUCGUAAAAGAAACUCACUAAGAGGUGUAAAGUGUAUAAACUUUAAAGACAUUACAAGAUUGUUUUCUGUUGGUAAUACGAAGUAGGAUAGAAAGUGAAUUGGGUACAUUUUGGACUCAGCAAAAUAGGAUAGAUAAUGUAAUAUUUUCACUGAAUUUGUCAAAUGCAAAUGGACUACACAUUGUUGAUAUAUUUAUUGCUUAUAUAUAUUGUGUACAGUUAUUGUACUUAUUAUAUAUAGUUUUUCUUAUAUUAGUUAUAACAUUUUUUAAUUUAGACAAAAAAGGGGAAAAUGUGGUGAUAUUUUAUCUGUGUCCCCCAAUAAAGUUUAUCUGAGAAUCAAAGAAAAAAGCCAGCCAUUAUAGUAAACAUAGAGGUCACAAAGUAGUAGCUCAUGCCUUUAAUCCUAUCACCCAGGAGGCACCAAUUCGUGUGGAUCUCUGUGAGUUCAAGGCCACACUGAGAACAGAGCCAGGCAUGGUGGCACAUGCCAUAAAUUCCAACACUAGUUAACCAUAAAGGUCUGGAAGUCUGUACAGACAGACAGGAAGUGACAGAGCUGGGCAGGAAGAGGAAGUGAUGUAGCUGGACAGAGAGAAAAUGAGAUGGCAGAACAGAGAGGCAUAUAGGCAUGGGUAUACAGGAAGUAGGUCUCUUUGGUAAAGGAUCUCCAAGCAGGUAAGAACAUGGCUGGCUUCUUCCUGCUUUUCUGAUUUCUCAACAUUUCACCCAAAUAUCGGGCUCCAGGUUUUUUAAUAAUAAGACGUUGUAGGAUUUGUUACAUUUCUUUAAACUCUAUUUUUUAAAGGACUUUCUUUAUCCUUUUGCUUUUCUCUCUCAAGCCUACAUAUAUAUUUAACCAUCUUGUAACCUGUUUUCUUUUUUUCCAUCUGACUAUCGUGUAUCUGUAAUCUUUUUCUGAGCAGGUGAGUUUUUAAAUUGCUAAGCUGCAUCGCUGGGAAGAAAGCAUGGCUUUGGCGACUGGCACUUCUCUGCUUGGCUUUUCAAUACCGCAUACAUACUAAUGAGUUGCACUUACCACCCUGAUUCUGGGAAGCAGUAUUAAGUAGCAUGUAGCUGUGUUUUUAAGCCUACAGCUGUGUUCUCAAUCUUACAGUCAGCAGCUGAGUGAAGACACUUAUUACCAUGGCCCAUAGGAAAGACUGCAGAAAUCCAACAUGCUGCAUAACUCAUGGUGGCUGGUAGCCAGCUCCGUCUCGCAGACAGCUGUCCAGAGACGUAUCUCUGCACUCCUACUAGCAUGAGACUCUGAGACUUAGGAAGACCAGUGUGGCUCCAUUACUGUGCAUUCAGAAUCUUUUUUAAGCUUUCUCAGUUCUAUGUGGUCAAUGCAUGACAGUCAGAAGAAUUUCUAAGUCCCACAGUUGCUUGGUCCCGUAAAUACACAGUGGCUUAUACUACAAACUAAUUAGUCUGUGGCUCAGGCUUAUUGCUUACUAGCUAUUUUAUCUUAAAUUAACCAAUUUCUACUAAUAUAAGUAUUGCCUUGGGUCUCGUGGCUUUACCUGUUUCAAGACAUCUUGCUCAAUGUCUCUCCUGACUCUACCUUCCUUCUCUCUGUAUCAUUUGGAUUUCCCACCUGGCUAUAACCUGUCUUGCCAUAGGCCAGAGCAGCUUUUUUAUUAAGCAACAGUAGCAACACAUUCACAGCAUAGAGAAAGACCAUCCCACAGCAGGUUAUGAAGGUAUACUCAGGUUAACAAAAAAUACUUAGAGAUGUAUGUCUAAAAUUGUAAAAUCUGAAACUUUUUGUACUACUAAUUUGUUGUAAACAGUUAAAGAUUAUUAAGGCAUUAAAAUUAAUGGUCAAUCACCUUAUAAAUAAAAAAAUUUAAAGUGCUCAAAACUAAGAUUGUAGUCAUAAUAAAUAAAAAUAUGACUCAUUUGAAAAAAAAUCUUUGACCAUCUAUGCAUGUUAUCAAGGUUGAGCUGAAAACACAUAACUAAAAACAAAGUUUGCUUAAACUAAGAUUCAUUUAAUAGAUGGUUCUAUUAUUCACUUACACAUCCACUAAAUAAUACACUUACAACACUAGGAAAGUAAGAAUAUUUUUGUCUUUUAUUACUAAAGCUUGAUUUUUAAAUGUAUAUUUUUGUACAACAUAACAUAAAUUAAAAAAUAACAAUGUACACAGGCUUACAAUAAAUUCAAAAAGAAAAAUAAGAGUAAAUUAAAAUCCGAAGGUUUUUUAAAUCUUUCUUCUGGGUAAUAUGAUUGCCAAAAAAUACAAAUACAAUGAUAUGUUUCUCAAAUUUCUGUGAAGGCCAAAGGGAGUUAAACCAAAAUUACAGUAAAUAAAAUUAAAUUACUUAAAAAAAUUUUCCCUAAAAUUAUUUUGGCAUAGCCUGCAAAUCUGUUACAUAACACUGCCUACAAAAUGUUCUAAAAACUAAAGCCUUCUUCCUCUGUGGAACUGUAAUAAUUAAUUAUUACUCAGACAUUUUAAUUUUCAUUUACAAUAUCAAUUGGAUUUGAAAUUUCAUGGUUACAAGGAAAAACUCAAUUGUUUUAUCCUUCAGGAUUCUCUGUGAUUAUUGCUCAGGCACUUCUAAAUAUCCUGUUACCUAAUAAAAGUCUUAAAUUAAAAUUGCUCUAAAUUUUAAAGAUCUCAAAUCUUAUAGCCUUAAGUUUAAAUCUUUUAAAAUAUAAUGUCCAUUGUUAAUUAAAUAGACUUUGUCUUUUAAUUUUAUACUUAUCCUUAGUCUGAGAAAUGAUCAGACACUGACAAUGUAAGUAAUAAAAACAAAAACAAAAAAGUACCAGAUGGCUUCUGAUGUGAAGCAACCAACUAGGACAUCUAAAAACCACAGGACAAAUGAAACAUCUAAAGGCAAAUGACAAAUCCAUCAAUAGGAGAAGCCCUAUUGAAAAAGAAAAAGAGUAACUGAUAACUUGGAAAAGAUCAAAUACCUAAUUCAUCAAGCUGAGACUGGGAAAACAAGGGCACAAUAUGGUAACCUAAAAAUAAUGCUGUUAUAUCUACUGACUAUAUUGUAUAUUAAUUCUUGGCUUGCCAAUGCAGAAUCAAUAUACCUAUGGUCAGAGGGGGUGAAAGCCACAAAUGUGAUAGGAGACAGCAUAUUGUUUUGUUAUGCCAAGGAUUAUUUUAUCCUGUAGGACCAAUUGUCUGGAUAAAAGAUGGGGUAAAAAUAUUUAAUCAAACAAAUGGGGGAUAUUUUGGUUGAAUAAACUAACAGAUCAAUCCAAACACAAAAAUACAGAUUUCAGCAUAAUCAAAUAUUCUUUAGAAAACUUUGACAAUGGGAACUAUAGUUGUAGAAACACAAAAAAGGGAAUGCCUCAUGUACUGCUUAUCAAAGUUGGUAUAAUUGUACCUAAAAUAAUGCUAUCGAUUGCCAAUGGUCUAGAAAAUAACCUGUGGCUUCAUCCGGCACAUAGAAGUCAACAAGAACAAUCUUUUUUAUAUCAAAGGAGACCAAUAUAUUCGUGAGAUUUGAAAAGAAACAUGUAUGACAUAGGAGUCACUCAGAAACAUUAUUCACAACUAACAGGGAAUAAUAAUGAAUCCACUGGCAUCCAUAUUCACAAGGCUGCCCCUGAUAAUACUGUCAAUGGCGUUUUUUCUAUCAAGCUGUUUAUGCUUUGAAUGUACAUACAUCCAUCCUUAUUGUACCUCUGGUAAACAACUGCCUUUAGGAUGGACCAUUUUUUGUGAAAAUAACUUAUACUGCCCUUCCUGUGAGAUAUAAAGGCUUAUAAGGAAUAGGGCAUAUUUCACUCAUUUUAAUCAGUAAAUCCCUACAACUCAUCAAUAGAACUGGGAGAACAAUCUUUAAAAAUAGUGAUGAUUCUUUACAUUCAUUAGAUCCUGUAAUUAUUGAAGCCACUUCAGCUCUUUUAUUGCCUAUUUCAGAAUCAAUUAUUGGAACACAAAGAAAAGUAUCUAAAUUGGCCUGUAUAAUUACUAAAACUACUAAUAUAACUGCAAAAAUAUUAGUAAAAAAUCAACUAAGAGACGGUUGAGGGCUGGAGAGAUGGCUCAGAGGUUAAGAGCAUUGGCUGCUAUUCCAAAGGUCCUGAGUUCAAUUCCCAGCAACCACAUGGUGACUCACAACCAUCUGUAAUGAGAUCUGGUGCCCUCUUCUGGCCUGCAGGGAUACAUGCAGGCAGAGCACUGUAUGCAUAAUAAAUAAACUUAAAAAAAAAGAGAGA